UUGCUGUUCUUCAGGGAUCUGUCUAGGGUUUGCUGUUCGGAUUCGUGCUGAUCCAUUCUGAUUUGUGCUGUUCGAGGUGGGCUGCUUCUGAGAUGGCUGAGGGAUCUGUCUAGGGUUUGCUGUUCGGAUUCGUGCUGAUCCAUUCUGAUUUGUGCUGUUCGAGGUGUUUUAGCUGGUUCGGUUGCAGGAUGUUUGCCGUCGGUUGUUCUUUUGUGCACAUGUUAGAUGUCGUUGCUUCGCGAUGUCGUUUGCCAUUCCACUCGUACUUGCGGGAGGUCAUGGACAAUGGGGUUGUGCUUGGAGGGGUGGAGAUCGAUGUUGAUGUCCCUGGAGGUGAUGCCUUUACCAUGACGAAGUUUUUUUGGUCCCGGGACGGUAUUGGUUGCCCGUCUCUUCAUGAUGAUGCUGCUCUCCAAGCUAUUUGCUUCCUACAGGGUCUAUAUGGGUUUGUUGUUGUAGACUACAAUUACAAGAGCAUGAUGACUUAUCGAGAACUUGCUCGUUCAGCAGUUGUUUUGGCGGCCUCGCUGGUUCGGUCUUCGGUACCUGCUGUUGCCAGUGAUGCGUCUGCUGCCGUGGGUGACGUCAAUGCUGCUUCGCGGUGGCAGA